GCCCCGGUAGCUCAGCUGGUAGAGCGAUUGCCUCGUAAGCAAUAGGCCGCGGGUUCAACCCCCGCCCGGGGCU
rnacentral:tRNA from 1 species